GGUGGCUCAGUUGGUAGAGUGCUUGCCUUGUAUGCAUGAGGCCUUGGGUUUGAUUCCUCAGCACCA
rnacentral:tRNA from 1 species